AGGGUUCCGGUUCACGCCGUGACGCAGGCGACCCGGCGACC
rfam:Mycobacterium abscessus strain PAP053 genome assembly, contig: ERS075544SCcontig000003